rnacentral:rRNA from 1 species
CAAUACAGGGUCAAACGAUUCUGUAAUUGGAAUGAACUAAGCUUAGAACCCUUUAAGAGUAACAAUUGGAGGGCAAGUCUGGUGCCAGCAGCCGCGGUAAUUCCAGCUCCAAUAGCGUAUAUUAAAGUUGUUGCAGUUAAAAAGCUCGUAGUUGGACUUCGAUUAGUAUAAUAUUUGACCCUCGUGGUCGUAUAUUAUUAUUAAUCUUCCCUCCCAUGCAACCGCGUGGGGGAUUUUA